CCUACGGGAGGCAGCAGUGAGGAAUAUUGGUCAAUGGGCGCGAGCCUGAACCAGCCACGUCGCGUGAGGGAAGACGGUCCUAUGGAUUGUAAACUUCUUUUGUCGGGGAGCAAAAGACGCCACGCGUGGCGUUCCGAGAGUACCCGUAGAAAAAGCAUCGGUAAACACCGUGCCAGCAGCCGCGGUAAUACGGAGGAUGCGAGCGUUAUCCGGAUUUAUUGGGUUUAAAGGGUGCGCAGGCGGAAGAUCAAGUCAGCGGUAAAAUUGAGAGGCUCAACCUCUUCGAGCCGUUGAAACUGGGUGUCUUGAGUGAACGAGAGGUAUGCGGAAUGCGUGGUGUAGCGGUGAAAUGCAUAGAUAUCACGAAGAACUCCGAUUGCGAAGGCAGCAUACCGGCGCUCAACUGACGCUCAGGCACGAAAGUGUGGGUAUCGAACAGGAUUAGAUACCCGUGUAGUC
rnacentral:rRNA from 1 species